rnacentral:rRNA from 1 species
AUCAGGGUUUGACUAAGCCAUGCGAGUCGAGAGGUGUAAGACCUCGGCAUACUGCUCAGUAACACGUGGUUAACCUGCCCUAAGGUGGAGAAUACUCCCGGGAAACUGGGGCUAAUGCUCCAUAGUGGAUAUGUCCUGGAAUGGUAUAUCCUCGAAAGAUCCGUCGCCUUAGGAUGGGACUGCGUCCGAUUAGGUUGUUGGCGGGGUAACGGCCCACCAAGCCUUUUAUCGGUACGGGUUGUGGGAGCAAGAUCCCGGAGAUGGAUUCCGAGACAUGAAUCCAGGCCCUACGGGGCGCAGCAGGCGCGCAAACUUUACAAUGCGAGCAAUCGUGAUAAGGAAACCCUGGGUGCCUGUCGAUGCAGGCUGUUCAUAUAUCUAAAUCAUAUGUGAAGAAAGGGCAGGGCAAGACCGGUGCCAGCCGCCGCGGUAAUACCGGCUGCUCGAGUGAUGGCCACUAUUACUGGGUUUAAAGCGUCCGUAGCUUGACUGUUAGGUCUCUUGGGAAAUCUUCGCGCUCAACGUGAAGGCGUCUAAGAGAUACCGGCAGUCUUGGAACUGGGAGAGGUAAACCGUACUUCGGGGGUAGGAGUGAAAUCUUGUAAUCCUCGAGGGACGACCUAUGGCGAAGGCAGUUUACCAGAACAGCUUCGACAGUGAGGGACGAAAGCUGGGGGAGCAAACGGGAUUAGAUACCCCGGUAGUCCCAGCCGUAAACAAUGUGCGUUAGGUGUGUCGGUAACCACGUGUUACUGAUGCGCCGAAGAGAAAUCGUGAAACGCACCACCUGGGAAGUACGGUCGCAAGGCUGAAACUUAAAGGAAUUGGCGGGGGAGCACCACAACAGGUGGAGCCUGCGGUUUAAUUGGAUUCAACGCCGGACAUCUCACCGGAUAAGACAGCUGAAUGAUUGUCAAUCUGAAGGUUUUACAUGACUAGCUGAGAGGAGGUGCAUGGCCGUCGUCAGUUCGUACUGUGAAGCAUCCUGUUAAGUCAGGCAACGAGCGAGACCCA